rnacentral:rRNA from 1 species
UGGGGUUGUAGGACUGGACAUUUGAGUUACCAAGAAACGAAGUAGUUGAAUGAUUUGGGAAGAUCAGCCAGAGAAGGUGAUAGCCCUGUAAGCGAAACUUCGUUUCCUCAGCCCAGUAUCCUGAGUACGGCGGAACACGUGAAACUCCGUCGGAAUCCGGGAGGACCAUCUCCCAAGGCUAAAUACUCCCUAGUGACCGAUAGUGAACCAGUACCGUGAGGGAAAGGUGAAAAGCACCCCGGGAGGGGAGUGAAAUAGUUCCUGAAACCAUGUGCCUACAAGUAGUCAGAGCCCGUUAAUGGGUGAUGGCGUGCCUUUUGUAGAAUGAACCGGCGAGUUACGUUAGCGUGCGAGGUUAAGGCGCAAAGGCCGGAGCCGUAGCGAAAGCGAGUCUGAAUAGGGCGAAUGAGUACGUUGACGUAGACCCGAAACCAGGUGACCUACCCAUGUCCAGGUUGAAGGUGCGGUAAGACGCACUGGAGGACCGAACCCGUGUAUGUUGAAAAAUGCUGGGAUGAGGUGUGGGUAGAGGUGAAAUUCCAAACGAACUUGGAGAUAGCUGGUUCUCUCCGAAAUAGCUUUAGGGCUAGCCUCGGAGUUAAGGAUCGUGGAGGUAGAGCACUGUUUGGACUAGGGGCCCGUCUUGGGUUACUGAAUUCAGAUAAACUCCGAAUGCCACAGAUCUAUAUCCGGGAGUCAGACUGCGAGUGAUAAGAUCCGUAGUCGAAAGGGAAACAGCCCAGACCACCGAUUAAGGUCCCUAAAUAUGUGUUAAGUGGAAAAGGAUGUGGAAUUGCACAGACAACUAGGAUGUUGGCUUAGAAGCAGCCACCAUUUAAAGAGUGCGUAAUAGCUCACUAGUCGAGUGAUCCUGCGCCGAAAAUGUAACGGGGCUAAACACAUUACCGAAAUCGUGGAUGCAACUAUGUUGCAUGGUAGGAGAGCGUUCUAAGGGCGAUGAAGCUAGACCGUAAGGACUGGUGGAGCGCUUAGAAGUGAGAAUGCCGGUAUGAGUAGCGAAAGAUCAGUGAGAAUCUGGUCCACCGUAUGACUAAGGUUUCCUGGGGAAGGCUCGUCCUCCCAGGGUUAGUCGGGACCUAAGCCGAGGCCGAGAGGCGUAGGCGAUGGAUAACAGGUUGAGAUUCCUGUACUGGUUUGAUUUGUUUGAACGAUGGAGGGACGCAGGAGGCUAGAGAUGCGUGCUGUUGGAUAUGCACGUCCAAGCAACAAGUCUGAUGAUGAGUCAAAUGCUUAUCGUCUUAAGGACAAGUUGUGACGGGGAGCGAAAUUAAAGUAGCGAAGUGAUCGAUGUCACACUGCCGAGAAAAGCUUCUAGUUAG